CGGAAGUUCAAGUAAUCGUGUUCCAGCAAGUAGAACAAGCAGUACCGGAAGUAGGGAGGAAAAGACAAGGAAGAUCUCUGGAAGCCAACGUAGCGGUCGAAGGAGUGCGCUAUCCACGGAAGACAUAAACGAUCCAGCCGUCAGUAGUCUCUUGAGCUUACACGAUGGUUCGAGCAAAGCAUCCAAGACGAGGUCAUCUUUGGCGAGAAAGUCGGGUAUCUUCUCUAACGCCUCGAAAACGGAAAGAAUGGACUCCCUUACCGAAUUGCUGAACCAGUACAGUGUUAGCGGGUUUCCACGUCAACCGGGACUUCUGACCUUUGAC